GACGAACGCUGGCGGCGUGCCUAAUACAUGCAAGUCGAACGCAGUGGGGAUGGGUGAGUAACACGUGGGUAACCUCCCAUCAGAGGGGAUAACACUUGGCAACAGGUGCUAAACCGAUACUGAUGGAUGGACCCGCGGGGAAUUAGCUAGUGGGUGAGGUAACGGCUCACCAAGGCCACGAUGCAUAGCCGACCGGGAAGGGUGAUGACCCACACGGGGACUAAGACACGGCCCAGACUCCUACUUAGAUCACCAGGAAUAAAUCUGCGGCAAUGGACGAAAGUCUGACCUAGCAACGCCGGGUGAGGGAAGAAGGUUUUCGGUUCGUAAAGCUCUGUUGUUAGAGAAGCGGUAUCUAACCAGAAAGCCACGGCUAACUACGUGCCAGCCGCCGAGGUAAUUC
rnacentral:rRNA from 1 species